AGAGCCUAAAGAGACACAUUCUACCACACAUGACUGCUGACUCCCAUGUUUUCUGGAAAAUGCUGAUAUUGCUCUUAGGAAAUCAAGAAAAGAAAGUCAUUUCUGAAUAUUGGCGCUCUCCUCUGUCACAUGCUUUCCUAAUCCCAGGCACAGGAGCUGUCCUGCGGUUUGUUCUAGGACCCUCUGGAAUGGUGUCAACUACAUUUAGAAUCAUGGGUCUUCCCACUGCAAUGAACCCAAUCUUCAAACUGCCUCAUGAACAUGCCCAAGAUUUAUUUCCAUGCUGAUUCUAAAUCCCAUCAAACUGACAAUCAGUAUUAGCCAUCACAAUGUCCUUCAUCCAAAAUACCAAACAUGU